AUGACCCAGAUCCGCGCCCGGCGGUGGGCCGGCGGUGUCGUCGCCGCCAGGCCGGGGCGCGUUCUUGGCGCCACGGAUCAGCACCUCGGGGUCGUC
rnacentral:tRNA from 1 species